UUGCCCCAGUGGGUCUUCCAUAAAAGGUUGGUUGUGGAGACAGGAAAAAUAAUAUAUGCCGUUAAAUUGUUUAUUAGCACAGGAACUUCACACAGUGGAAGGAAUGAUUGUUUAUUGAAACAAGACCUUCAAGGGACUCUUUAAUUAUAAAACAGCUUGAUAUUUUAAAGAAAAUGACAGAGACAACGGAAAGAACAAUUUACUGUGGGUAACAGGUUGAGUAUAGCUUGGGGCCUAUUAAUCAGUCAUGCAUAACCACUAUCCCAUAAAGAAAUUGGAAUAAACAUACAGAAAAUACUGCCUCUGCAAGAGGAUUCAAAGAAACAUGGCUAGGUUUUAAAAUGUAAUUAACAGUUGCAUCAUAACACAUUAAGAGGAGCAAAAGCAGUAUCUGUCUCGCAACAGUAGAUGAAUAAAAUGAAGACAUCAGUUCUCCAGCUUUGGAACCCACUGACAGCAAGUUCUGCAGAAAUGGGAGCACGGGUCUGCUGCCACUGGUACUGAGGCACCAAGCAAGGCUUUGAAGCAGGAAACACCUCGUUUUAUUCACCCUGAACCUGUAGCCUGAUGCCCACCAUUAACUCCAUCUGCUUCCCCUGUCUCAGGAAUGGGAUAGAGCUUUUCCCUGAAAGGCCUGAGUAUAUCCACUGAGCAUCUGAGGUCCCUCCUCAGUUGUCUGGUCCCACACCAACCCCCGUGGCAGGAUCAGGACCCCAGCCAAGGAAAGUGUUCAGUGGGGUGAGUUCUCAGUGCUCCCAGAGCUGGGCACAAAUGGUCUCCUGCAGCUCUACCUCCUGAGAGUUAAUGAAGAUUAGAUCCCAUCUAGAAAUAUAGCCCCAACACACUGAAACUUCCUCAAUAAAUUUUAGGAUAGACUUUAGUGUGGAAUUACAGCUGCAGGUCUCCAGCCAUUAAAAAAUGAAUUAUUGUUACGGAUGUAACUCGGCAGCAGAGCAGCCUGACAGCAACGGCCUGAGCUAAUUCCCCCAAAGAUUCGUCUCUGUUCCUGCAAGAUAAGUGCUCCAGCCUUGUUUCCUUCUGUUGGAUUUUUACACAGUGCCUCGUGGAGCACGGCACCGUCCCCAUUUGCAUGUGCUGUACAGGGCUGGAUUGACAAUAUCAGCCAGGGUAUUAUGUGACACCUAAUUUGGAAACACUUGGUGAAGGUUAUCUCUGCCUCAAGCAAUGAUACCACGAGGCUGAAUAUAAAGCUGUUAGAGUAAUUUCUAGUGAAUAAUGUAUUAAAUAACUUUACUUCCCCUCUCCCUCCCUCUGCACGUGACUUGUUUGAGACUUUUUUUUUUUCUUUAAAGAAAGAAGGAACUAUUUAAUAAUGAAACUAGAAUGAUGUUGAAUACAUAAGUUACAGGUGGCAGAUCUGGAGACAGAUUUUAGCCUGGUUAUAUACUUUAAAUACUCAAAAUAUUAGCUGUAAUUCUUUACUGGUAAGUUUUGAUUUGCAGGUCAUUUGUGAGUGAGCUGUUACAGUUCCAGGCUAUUUUGAGUGGCUGCUCAAUCACCUGUUGUUACUUUUUCACUCCAAAUGGCUAAAGGUGAUUCAUAGCUUUUCAUAUUUUAUACCCUUUACUUUUCUGCUUGAAGAUGAAAUUUAAUUUACACCAACAAUCUGAAGUGCCCAUUGCUCUGGGAGCCAUUCCCUGUUUAUUAUUUGUUCUUUUUAGAGAUGACAGAAACAAAACACAAAUGGGCAAGAGGUGACUUUUUUUUCAAAAUAAUACCCUUUGUUUAUGAUGAACUUUGUAACCCUCAGCUACUUGUUUACAGGAAGUAUAAGAGGCUCAAAGAGAGAAAAUGCCUGGAGAAUAUUUGUUCGAGUCCUCAGAAGUGUUUUGUGCUCCCAGAAAUUCAAUUAGACGUAGGAGCAGUUUGUAACGUUCAUUUUGUUAUGGCAAGUCCUUUAUUUAUCUUUUCAUGUUGCCAUUUUACCACCAGUGAUGGUGUGGUCACCUGAAGCUGUGGUGUCCUGGCAAGUGACAGCUGUGACUGGACAUUAAUGCUCAGGUACAGGCUGAUCCGGCUGCCACUGGACCAGGUAGCACAUUCCCAUUCCAGAAUUCCAUUUUCUGGAAGUGUUUUAGAUUCUCUGAAUUUCUUUAGGAGUAAAAAAAAAAUAAUAAGAAAAUAAAAGAGAACAAGAGAAAGA